rnacentral:rRNA from 1 species
UUGACCUCGGAUCAGGUAGGGAUACCCGCUGAACUUAAGCAUAUCAAUAAGCGGAGGAAAAGAAACCAACAGGGAUUGCCUCAGUAACGGCGAGUGAAGCGGCAACAGCUCAAAUUUGAAAUCUGGCUCUUUCAGGGUCCGAGUUGUAAUUUGUAGAAGAUGCUUUGGGUGUAGCUCCGGUCUAAGUUCCUUGGAACAGGACGUCAUAGAGGGUGAGAAUCCCGUAUGUGACUGGGUGCUUUCGCUCGUGUAAAGCUCUUUCGACGAGUCGAGUUGUUUGGGAAUGCAGCUCAAAAUGGGUGGUAAAUUUCAUCUAAAGCUAAAUAUUGGCCAGAGACCGAUAGCGCACAAGUAGAGUGAUCGAAAGAUGAAAAGCACUUUGGAAAGAGAGUUAAACAGUACGUGAAAUUGUUGAAAGGGAAGCGCUUGCAACCAGACUUGCGCGCUGUUGAUCAUCCGAGCUUCUGCCCGGUGCACUCGACAGCGUUCAGGCCAGCAUCGGUUUUGGUGGGCGGAUAAAGGCCUUGGGAAUGUAGCUUCUUUCGGGGAGUGUUAUAGCCCUCGGUGCAAUGCGCCUUACCGGGACCGAGG